UACGAAGGGUGCUAGCGUUGUUCGGAAUUACUGGGCGUAAAGCGCGCGUAGGCGGCUUUGCAAGUCAGGGGUGAAAUCCCACAGCUCAACUGUGGAACUGCCUUUGAAACUGCAAAGCUAGAGUGUCGGAGGGGAUAGCGGAAUUGCUAAUGUAGAGGUGAAAUUCGUAGAUAUUAGCAGGAACACCGGUGGCGAAGGCGGCUAUCUGGACGACAACUGACGCUGAGGCGCGAAAGCGUGGGGAUCAAACAGG
rnacentral:rRNA from 1 species